GAGUUUCCGUUAUCCAUUAUCUUUCUGUCUUUGAGGAAACACAGAAAAAAGAAAAGCAAAAAACUCUCUAGAAAUUCUCAAGAAAAGAAAGCUAGGGUUUUUGCCAAUCUCUCCCCGUGUUUCUACCUUUGUUCAAAUUUGGGAAGCCAUGGUUUCUGAUUCGAUCGCAAACGUUUCCUCCACUCCUUCGGCUCCUAAUUCCAGGGAUUUUGGCAAGAAAAAGAGGGCCAACAGGUCUGCCAAACUCAAGCAGUGCAAGCUUGAUGCUCGUCGCGAGCAAUGGCUUGCUC